AGCUGUGAUAGCGUGCCAAGCACUGCAUUAGGGACUAGGGGUGGGGAUGAUGAAGGCAGGGGCUGCUCCUGUAGCUGAGAUCUGGGGUUGACCUUCGGAGUCAGUGUGAGGAGGUCAGAGAAUGACCGAUUUGGGUUUUAGCCUACUAACUGAUCACUGAGAGCAACCCCAUGAACAUGCUAAGCAGGAUUAAAUUUAUCAGUGUUGGGACAGCUCUGUGGAGUAGCUGGAGCCAUCCCUGCGUUUGCCGCCGGGGUUAGGUGUGAGUGGAAGAAAGACCUUCAUUCUGGAGGAUGCUCUGCUUGGCCUGGAUGCUGCCCAUCAGAAGCCCCAGCAAGACUGUUUUCAGCAGGAAUUCCCCAGGUUUGAUGACAUCAUUCUGCUCGCUGUCCCAGUACUGAGUGUCCUCCAAGCCUCACUUUUCCCCCUGCGGUCCGGCAGAGAAUGGUGGCGUCACCCUAGAGCGAGGAUUUGCAGACCAACUGGAGUGUCUCCUUCCUGAGCAUUCAGCCUACAAUCCCAAGGGACUGAGUUGGCUCCAGUGCAGUAUACAUGGAAGUGGUACUUGCUCUUUGGGGCUUGGCCUCAGAACUAUCCUGGAUGGAGGUCAGAGCUUACCGUAUGGUCAGGUCUGUCUUCGCAUAGCCGUCGUACUGUGUGCUCCUCUGCAGUGCAUGCAUAUCCAGUUCAGGACUGCCACAAACCAGGAUUUCUACUUCUUCUGGACGAAGCAGCUAUCAAUAAUCACAAAAACCAUAAUUCAAAAUGAUAGUCUUGCCGGGCAGUGGCGGUGCCCUCCUUUAAUCCCAGCACUCGGGAGGCAGAGGCAGGCGGAUUUCUGAGUUCGAGGCCAGCCUGGUCUACAAAGUGAGUUCCAGGACAGCCAGGGCUGCACAGAGAAACCCUGUCUUGAAAAUCCAAAUUUAAAAAAAUGAUAGUCUUAAAUGAAAUUUGAAGUGUUUUUAUUGCAGAAUCAAAUCAUAGAAAUUAUGACACUGUCUCAGUAAAUAAAAUUACUUUUUUGUUGAA
rnacentral:lncRNA from 1 species